GUGGGGAAUUUUGGACAAUGGGCGCAAGCCUGAUCCAGCAAUGCCGCGUGCAGGAAGAAGGCCUUCGGGUUGUAAACUGCUUUUGUACGGAACGAAACGGUCCUGGCUAAUACCCGGGGCUAAUGACGGUACCGUAAGAAUAAGCACCGGCUAACUACGUGCCAGCAGCCGCGGUAAUACGUGGGGUGCGAGCGUUAAUCGGAAUUACUGGGCGUAAAGCGUGCGCAGGCGGUGCUGUAAGACAGGCGUGAAAUCCCCGGGCUCAACCUGGGAAUUGCGCUUGUGACUGCAGUGCUGGAGUGCGGCAGAGGGGGAUGGAAUUCCGCGUGUAGCAGUGAAAUGCGUAGAUAUGCGGAGGAACACCGAUGGCGAAGGCAAUCCCCUGGGCCUGCACUGACGCUCAUGCACGAAAGCGUGGGGAGCAAACAGGAUUAGAUACCCGAGUAGUCC
rnacentral:rRNA from 1 species